AUUUAAGUGGGGUGGGCUUUAAGCCUCAAACCUCCCGCUGCCGCCAUCUUGGACACCCUCCUCAGCAAGCUGAAGAGUGCAUACAGAAGAGAACAAGCAAGCAAGAGAGAGACGAUGGAAGUUGUUAGCUUCACAAAAAAUGCCUAGUUUUCUGGAGCAAUUCUGAUGCUUCUGUAACAUCUGGGGAUGGCAGGGCCUGCAUUACUGAUGAGCCUGAAUAUUUUUUCUCCUACCUUUUUCUUCAUCGAAGAACAAUUAUUACACAUACCUGUUUCACUGUUUCUUCUCCUUUCCCCUCAUUUUUCUCCACCCCUUCUACAGUGAUGCAUUCUUUGGCAGCAGUUAAAAUAAUAUCCCAGGCUGACAGAAUAAGAGAGGGUGAGGCCUGUGAAGGAGGCUAAAAAAAGAAACCCAUUGUGUUUGUAGGAAUGCAGGCAGAAAACAUGCUUGUUCACUACAGGAAAGGAGUUAGGUUUCUCAAAAACUAGCAGGAAAGGGCAUAGAACCAUUUCUUAUCAGACACCAUUAAGGGCAUGCUAUCAUAAAUUGUCCCAGAAUUGGAAGAGAAUUUGUCAUCUUGCUUCUACUUUCCCUGGUAAAGCACUAUGUGUUAUUCUUUGUGUGGCAGCACUACAUGCCAGUAACAGUAAAAUUACGCUUUUCCGAUUUAUUCAUGGUCAAUUAUGGAAUUUCAUUCUAAUAUAUACUGGCACUUAGGCCAGUCUUAGGCCAUUUCAUUUAAAUGACAUCUCAAAAAGAUUUUAUGAUAGUAAAAAAUCUAUCAAAUGCUAAUGGCUAGCAUAUGUAGAUUUUACAGGGUGAUUUUUGUGUGUUCAGGAACAAAUCUUACCUGUACUUGUACAAGGAUGCAAAAGAUGCUGAAUGCCAGUGAAGUUCUUGUCUUAUGGGUAGGGAUGAAUAUAAUAAGAUAAAGGAAGAAUGGAUUAAGUCUAAUUCAUUUGCAGUGUUGCACUGUGGGAAAAUGUUCACAGAUAGAAAAUAAGUCCAGGAAUUUUGCAUCCAUUUGCUUAAAUAUUUAUAUGAAGGUGGUGUUGUUCUCAUAAAUCUGCUGCAAACUAUGAUUUUUUGUAGUGGUUAUUUUGGAGAUUCAUCCUUACCUCCUCACAGGUCUCUCUUGGAAAAUUAUUGUAUUGGGUUCCAUGCUAAGAAUUAAAC